CCUACGGGUGGCAGCAGUGAGGAAUAUUGGUCAAUGGCCGAGAGUCUGAACCAGCCAAGUAGCGUGAAGGAAGACUGCCCUAUGGGUUGUCAACUUCUUUUAUCAAGGAGUCAAACGAGGCACGUAUGACUUUUUGCCAGUACUUUCGUAAAAAGCAUCGGCUAAAGCCGUGCCCGCGGCCGCGGUAAGACGGAGGAACCGAGCGUUCUCCGGCUUUAGUGGGGUUAAAGGGAGCGUGGAUGGGUGUGUAAGGCGGUUGUGAAGGUUUGCGGGUCAACCGUAAUAGUGCACUUGAGACUGGGAGUCUUGAGUACAGUUGAGGUAGGCGGAAUUCGUGGUGUAGCGGUGAAAUGCUUAGAUAUCACGAAGAACCCCGAUUGCGAAGGCAGCUUACUAGACUGUGACUGACAUUGAUGCUCGAAAGUGUGGGUAUCGAACAGGAUUAGAUACCCGGGUAGUC
rnacentral:rRNA from 1 species